GUGGGCUAUUGGGUUUGGGCUAAGGGUUAGUUUUGUUUUAGGUUAUUGGGUUUGUUAAUUUUUGGGCUAUUAGAUUAUUGGGUUUUGGGUUGUCUGGGCCUGUUGUAAAUGGACUGAACCAUUAACUUUUAUUUUUGUUUUGUUGUUUUUUUUCUUUUUUAUUUAUUAUUUUGUGUUUGGUUUCUUUAGCGGGCUGGGCAAAUUUGGGCUUCUACAAUUAUGAAAGCUACUUAAUAAGUGGUCGUCUAAUGACAUUUUCAUAAGUGUGUUACCCUCAUAGGAUAUCAUUAGUCUCUUUGGG
rnacentral:lncRNA from 1 species